rnacentral:rRNA from 1 species
CCUACGGGAGGCAGCAGUCGAGAAUCAUUCACAAUGGGGGAAACCCUGAUGGUGCGACGCCGCGUGGGGAAAUGAAGGUCUUCGGAUUGUAAACCCCUGUCAUGUGGGAGCAAAUUAAAAAGAUAGUACCACAAGAGGAAGAGACGGCUAACUCUGUGCCAGCAGCCGCGGUAAUACAGAGGUCUCAAGCGUUGUUCGGAAUCACUGGGCGUAAAGCGUGCGUAGGCUGUUUCGUAAGUCGUGUGUGAAAGGCGCGGGCUCAACCCGCGGACGGCACAUGAUACUGCGAGACUAGAGUAAUGGAGGGGGAACCGGAAUUCUCGGUGUAGCAGUGAAAUGCGGAGAUAUCGAGAGGAACACUCGUGGCGAAGGCGGGUUCCUGGACAUUAACUGACGCUGAGGCACGAAGGCCAGGGGAGCGAAAGGGAUUAGAUACCCCUGUAGUC